AUGUAACUGGAGGGCUUCUCCUGCAAAAAAUAAUGUAAUAACAGCAGUGAAUUAUCAGCACAAAAUCAUUGGUACCAAUAUAAUGGAAACUAUACUGCCAUAUGCAAAUGGGAGGCUGGAAGAUCAAAACCAAGCAUGAAGAGUGAAGACAUGGUUGCCAAGGAGUUGGAGAAAAUUGCCAGUAAAGUUAAAUCAUAAAUCGUUGAGAGAAUAUGAGAUGUGAAUGAAGUUUAUCAGUUGAAAAUAGUUAUAUGACAAUAUCAACAUAAAGCUUUACUUAAAUAUUGAACUUUCUAAUUUUUUUAUUUGCAAUUAGCACAGGAAGUGUUUUAAAGGCCAAAAUUUGCUUGCAGAAUUAAAUGGCUAUGAAGGUCCACAAAACAAACAGGCAAUGCAAUAUUCUAAGUCAACCUUGCAUUAUUACAAUAACACAUGAGAAUAAUCAGAUUGUCACUGGUCAAGUGCAG
rnacentral:misc_RNA from 1 species